rnacentral:SRP_RNA from 2 species
GCCAGGCACAGUGGCGUGUGCCUGUAAUCCCAGCUACACGGGAGGCUGAGGCAGGAGAAUAGCUUGAAUCUGGGAGACAGAGGUUGCAGUGAGCUGAGAUCACACCACUGCACUCCAGCCUGGGUGACAGAGCCAGACUCUGUCUCAG